rnacentral:ncRNA from 1 species
AGAGGGAGCUCGUAUGGCGGGCUGAGAGGAAGUAAUCGAACUUCGACCUUUAUAACCUGAUUUGGGUAAUGCCAACGUAGGGACCAUAAGACAU